GACGUAGGGCGCGAGCGUUGUCCGGAUUUAUUGGGCGUAAAGAGCGUGUAGGCGGCCCGAUAAGUCCGCUGUGAAAGUCCAGGGCUCAACCCUGGGAUGCCGGUGGAUACUGUCGGGCUCGAGUCCGGAAGAGGAGUGUGGAAUUCCUGGUGUAGCGGUGAAAUGCGCAGAUAUCAGGAGGAACACCCAUGGCGAAGGCAGCACUCUGGGACGUGACUGACGCUGAGACGCGAAAGCGUGGGGAGCAAACAGG
rnacentral:rRNA from 1 species